rnacentral:tRNA from 1 species
GGAUAGAUGGGUGAGUGGCUUAAACCGGCGACCUGCUACGUCGCUUCCUCGAAAGGGGACGAAGGUUCGAAUCCUUCUCUAUCCG